rnacentral:snRNA from 2 species
AUACCUUUCUCUGCCUUUUGUGGCUAAGAUCAAGUGUAGUAUAUGUUCUUAUCAUUUUAAUAUCUGAUAUGUGGGUAAUUGACCCACACGAUAUUAAAUCUAUUUUCUGAAGGGGGAGGUUCACCACAGUAGCUUGCUAUCGAGACCUUCAAGUGUCGUCUUGGUGUUGCACUACUGCCUUGGCCUGGCACACCCCAC